rnacentral:lncRNA from 1 species
GUGAGAGGAAGGAGAAAUUGAUGGGGUUAAAAAGAAAGUUGAAGCAGUGAAAUAAUUGUCCUUUUGGUAAUAUAUAUACAAAACCAGAAUAAAGAAUCAAUAUGGAAAUUGAAUAAGUUGAAUAAGAAGGACACAAAGCUUAACUGCGGCGGAUAUAUAGAACAAGAAGAAAAAGAAAUUAUGUAAGAGGUUUUGGCAGGUUAUUGUGUGCAGGGAAUCUCUGAAUAGAAAACAAAAUAUAAACUUAAGUGGGCAAAAGAUGGGGACUGCAGCCGAUCUUUUCACAUAACAAUCAAAGGAACAACAAUAUGAUUUGUUGGGUGCAAGAACCUUCAGAAGUUAUGAAGUUUAAAAAUAUUUGUGGGCAUGUUCAAUUAGGAAGACUGAAAUAAACCUAAGUUAGAUUAAUACAUUUACAAAAAUCAAGGAUGAAAUUAACAACUUUCUGCUGCUAAAUUUGACUCCCAGUAGGUAAAGGAGAUAAAUUUUCCGCACAAGGCAAAUCUGAUGGCUGUUGUACCAAAAGUAUACUAGAAGACACUUAGAGUUGAACACGGACCAAUAUUCUUAAUAUGAU